GACGAACGCUGGCGGCGUGCCUAAUACAUGCAAGUCGAGCGAAUUGAUGGGAGCUUGCUCCCUGAUAUUAGCGGCAGACGGGUGAGUAACACGUGGGUAACCUGCCUGUAAGAUUGGGAUAACUCCGGGAAACCGGAGCUAAUACCGGAUAACAUUUCGAACCGCAUGGUUUGAAAUUGAAAGAUGGUUUCGGCUAUCACUUACAGAUGGACCCGCGGCGCAUUAGCUAGUUGGUGAGGUAACGGCUCACCAAGGCAACGAUGCGUAGCCGACCUGAGAGGGUGAUCGGCCACACUUGGCCUGAGACACGGCCCAGAGUCCUACGGGAGUCAGCAGUAGGGAAUCUACCGCAAUGGACGAAAGUCUGACGGAGCAACGCCGCGUGAACGAUGAAGGCCUUCGGGUCGUAAAGUUCCGUUGUUAGGGAAGAACAAGUACCAGAGUAACUGCUGGUACCUUGACGGAACCUAACCAGAAAGCCACGGCUAACUACGUGCCAGCAGCCGCAGUAA
rnacentral:rRNA from 1 species